rnacentral:misc_RNA from 1 species
GAUGAAGAACGUAGCGAAAUGCGAUAAGUAAUGUGAAUUGCAGAAUUCAGUGAAUCAUCGAAUCUUUGAACGCACCUUGCGCCCUUUGGCUAUUCCGAAGGGCAUGCCUGUUUGAGUAUCAUGAACAUCUCAACUCCUCACGGUUCGCCCGUGACGAGCUUGGACUUUGGGGGUCUUGCCGGCCUGCGGGUCGGCUCCUCUCAAAUGAAUCAGCUUGCCGGUGUUUGGUGGCGUCACAGGUGUGAUAAAUAUCUACGCUUGUGGUUUUCCGCCAGGUAACCUCCAGCGAUGGGGGUUCACUGGAGCUCACGAAUGUCUCUCCUCGGUGAGGACAGCUCUUUGAACGUUUGAUCUCAAAUCAGGUAGGGCUACCCGCUGAACUUAAGCAUAUCAAUAAGCGGGGA